rnacentral:rRNA from 1 species
AGGACGAACGCUGGCGGCGUGCUUAACACAUGCAAGUCGAGCGGAAAGGCCCUUCGGGAUACUCGAGCGGCGAACGGGUGAGUAACACGUGAGCAACCUGCCCUUAGCUUCGGGAUAGCUCCGGGAAACCGGAAUUAAUACCGAAUAUGACUUUGGCUGACAUCAGCAGAAGUGGAAAGUUUUUCGGCUAGGGAUGGACUCGCGGCCUAUCAGCUAGUUGGUGAGGUAGUGGCUCACCAAGGCGACG